rnacentral:lncRNA from 10 species
AUCAUUAUCUGCAGAGAAUUUCAGUAUAUCUUCGAGUUCCUUGUUAGUAUUUAUGCUCUCUUAUUUGUGUUGGGAUAGAAAGAUUAAGGAAAGGAGAGAUGAGAAGGUGGCUCAACAGUUGAGACAGUUUUAUUGGGAGUAAACCUGAGAAGGGCUUCCAGCGGCAGGGUCAGGUGCAAACUUCUCUUACAGCCUGAGGCUUUUUUAAAGGGCCCAGUGGAGAAGUGUGCUUUGAAACAAAAUUCUGUUAGGGAGGGGUUGGGGAAGUCCUGGCUGUUCUGUUACAGUUAGGGCCGUUAUUCUCUGUUGAAGUUAUGGGCGGGGCUGACAUUUUCAGUUUUGGCCAGGUGGCCAAAUAGAAACUUAAAGCUUAGGAUGGUGGAGUGUUAUAAAGAUGGCGGUGCUCUUGUCCUGUCAAUGUGUUCCUCAAUAAAGUCUUCAAGCAUGUCAUAGAUUGUUUUCCCCACCAACCUCCCUUGCAGCAUUUGAGAUAUUCCUGAUACUUCAUCAAUAGUGGAGAAGCUCCUGAAAUCAUUGACUUCCUCACUCCAUAAUGGUUUCCAACACCCAAUGAAGUAGUAGGAGGAAAACAUGGGUUUCUUCUCCUGGAAGCCUCCAGAAGAAGGUAUUUCAAUAUGGGGAGAGUGGUCAGCUGUGUCACAGGUCACUGAGAAUUUGAAUAAGACAAGGAAAAAGGGUUGACUGUAGAUUUUGGCAAGUAUUUGGUCACUGGGGGCCUUGAUAAGAGCUGUUUCAUUGAAGUAUUCAUGAGAAUAACUUGUAGUGAAAUAUAUCUCAAAUAGACCUCCACGAUGUUGCCUAGAGGGCAGUGUUACCCUUUGAACUACCAACAUUAACCACUGGAACUGCUCAUCUGGAAGCCUCUUACAGUGCUGGUACAAACUAGAAUACACAAAGGAAGGGAUCAUUUUAUACGUGUUACUGUGCUACUUGCUCUAUCUACUUAGUGUUCCAUACAUGUAAUUACCUAUUCCAUCCUAUCCCAAAGUACUGAAAAUCUCCAUUCUACUUUCUCUGUCUGUGAAUUUGACUAUUCAUAGAGAGAGAGAUAUGUGGAAGUAUGCAUGUGUCCUUCCAUGUCUGGCUUAUUUCACUUAGAACGUUUUCAAGGUUUAUCCAUGUGGUAGCAUGUAUCAGGAACUCAUUGUUUUUGUGUCUGAAUAAAUUUCCACUGUAUGGUUAAAGCAUACUUUGUUUAUCCAUUUUUAUGUUGAUAAACAUGGGUUGUUUCCACAGUAAUAAUUUGACUGCUAUCAAUAAGGCUGCUGUGGAUGUGGUAUGUCUAUGUCUGUGUGAGUCCCUGCUUUCAAUUCUUUUGGAUAUAUGUAUCCCUAGGAGUGUAAUUGCUGGUUCACAGAAUAAUUGGUGUAAACCUUUUUCAGGAACAGGUAUAUUGCUUUACAAAGUGGCUACAAUGUUUUACAUUCUCUCCAGCAAUGCAUAAGGGUUUCUAUUUUCCACAUUGUCACAUAUACUGGUUGUCGUAUUUUUUUCAUAAUAGCCAAUUAAUGGUUCUGUACUGCUUUUUCAUUGUGGUUUUGAUUUGCAUUUCCCUAAUGACCAAUAAUAAUGCACAUUGGUUUUUGUUUUUGUUGGUUGUUUAUAUAUUUUUUGAACCAGUUUGUUUUAAAAUCCUUUGCUCAUUAAAAUUGAGUCAUUUGUGUUUUGUUGUUGAGUUAUAGGAAUUCUUAUUUAAAAUUUUUAGUUUUUAAUAUUUAGAAAAUUUCUUUCUUUUUUCAGCUCCCAAGUGCUUGGAAGAGAGUUGUAGGAAUUCUUUAUACACUGUGGGUAUUAAGCCCUUAUUUGAUAUGUGAUAUGCAGAUGUGUUCUCCCUUUCUGUAGGUUUUCUUUUCAUCUUGAGAUUGUCCUUUGGUGCGCAAAAGUUUUUAAUUUCGAUGUAGUCCAGUUUAUCUUUUAUUGGUUGUCUGUGCCUUAAAUGUCGUAUCCAAUAAAUCACUGCCAAAUUUAA